rnacentral:rRNA from 1 species
GGUUAAGCGACUAAGCGUACACGGUGGAUGCCCUGGCAGUCAGAGGCGAUGAAGGACGUGCUAAUCUGCGAUAAGCGUCGGUAAGGUGAUAUGAACCGUUAUAACCGGCGAUUUCCGAAUGGGGAAACCCAGUGUGAUUCGUCACACUAUCAUUAACUGAAUCCAUAGGUUAAUGAGGCGAACCGGGGGAACUGAAACAUCUAAGUACCCCGAGGAAAAGAAAUCAACCGAGAUUCCCCCAGUAGCGGCGAGCGAACGGGGAGCAGCCCAGAGCCUGAAUCAGUGUGUGUGUUAGUGGAAGCGUCUGGAAAGGCGCGCGAUACAGGGUGACAGCCCCGUACACAAAAAUGCACAUGCUGUGAGCUCGAUGAGUAGGGCGGGACACGUGGUAUCCUGUCUGAAUAUGGGGGGACCAUCCUCCAAGGCUAAAUACUCCUGACUGACCGAUAGUGAACCAGUACCGUGAGGGAAAGGCGAAAAGAACCCCGGCGAGGGGAGUGAAAAAGAACCUGAAACCGUGUACGUACAAGCAGUGGGAGCACGCUUAGGCGUGUGACUGCGUACCUUUUGUAUAAUGGGUCAGCGACUUAUAUUCUGUAGCAAGGUUAACCGAAUAGGGGAGCCGAAGGGAAACCGAGUCUUAACUGGGCGUUAAGUUGCAGGGUAUAGACCCGAAACCCGGUGAUCUAGCCAUGGGCAGGUUGAAGGUUGGGUAACACUAACUGGAGGACCGAACCGACUAAUGUUGAAAAAUUAGCGGAUGACUUGUGGCUGGGGGUGAAAGGCCAAUCAAACCGGGAGAUAGCUGGUUCUCCCCGAAAGCUAUUUAGGUAGCGCCUCGUGAAUUCAUCUCCGGGGGUAGAGCACUGUUUCGGCAAGGGGGUCAUCCCGACUUACCAACCCGAUGCAAACUGCGAAUACCGGAGAAUGUUAUCACGGGAGACACACGGCGGGUGCUAACGUCCGUCGUGAAGAGGGAAACAACCCAGACCGCCAGCUAAGGUCCCAAAGUCAUGGUUAAGUGGGAAACGAUGUGGGAAGGCCCAGACAGCCAGGAUGUUGGCUUAGAAGCAGCCAUCAUUUAAAGAAAGCGUAAUAGCUCACUGGUCGAGUCGGCCUGCGCGGAAGAUGUAACGGGGCUAAACCAUGCACCGAAGCUGCGGCAGCGACGCUUAUGCGUUGUUGGGUAGGGGAGCGUUCUGUAAGCCUGUGAAGGUGUACUGUGAGGUAUGCUGGAGGUAUCAGAAGUGCGAAUGCUGACAUAAGUAACGAUAAAGCGGGUGAAAAGCCCGCUCGCCGGAAGACCAAGGGUUCCUGUCCAACGUUAAUCGGGGCAGGGUGAGUCGACCCCUAAGGCGAGGCCGAAAGGCGUAGUCGAUGGGAAACAGGUUAAUAUUCCUGUACUUGGUGUUACUGCGAAGGGGGGACGGAGAAGGCUAUGUUGGCCGGGCGACGGUUGUCCCGGUUUAAGCGUGUAGGCUGGUUUUCCAGGCAAAUCCGGAAAAUCAAGGCUGAGGCGUGAUGACGAGGCACUACGGUGCUGAAGCAACAAAUGCCCUGCUUCCAGGAAAAGCCUCUAAGCAUCAGGUAACAUCAAAUCGUACCCCAAACCGACACAGGUGGUCAGGUAGAGAAUACCAAGGCGCUUGAGAGAACUCGGGUGAAGGAACUAGGCAAAAUGGUGCCGUAACUUCGGGAGAAGGCACGCUGAUAUGUAGGUGAAGU